rnacentral:rRNA from 1 species
AAAUUGAAGAGUUUGAUCAUGGCUCAGAUUGAACGCUGGCGGCAGGCCUAACACAUGCAAGUCGAACGGUAACAGGAAGCAGCUUGCUGCUUCGCUGACGAGUGGCGGACGGGUGAGUAAUGUCUGGGAAACUGCCUGAUGGAGGGGGAUAACUACUGGAAACGGUAGCUAAUACCGCAUAACGUCGCAAGACCAAAGAGGGGGACCUUCGGGCCUCUUGCCAUCGGAUGUGCCCAGAUGGGAUUAGCUAGUAGGUGGGGUAACGGCUCACCUAGGCGACGAUCCCUAGCUGGUCUGAGAGGAUGACCAGCCACACUGGAACUGAGACACGGUCCAGACUCCUACGGGAGGCAGCAGUGGGGAAUAUUGCACAAUGGGCGCAAGCCUGAU